GGCCUAUCAGCUAGUUGGUGAGGUAACGGCUCACCAAGGCGACGACGGGUAGCUGGUCUGAGAGGACGAUCAGCCACACUGGGACUGAGACACGGCCCAGACUCCUACGGGAGGCAGCAGCAGGGAAUAUUGCGCAAUGGGCGAAAGCCUGACGCAGCGACGCCGCGUGGGGGAUGAAGGCCUUCGGGUUGUAAACCCCUUUCAGGAGGGAAGAAAAUGACGGUACCUCCAAAAGAAGCCCCGGCCAACUACGUGCCAGCAGCCGCGGUAAGACGUAGGGGGCGAGCGUUGUCCGGAAUCAUUGGGCGUAAAGGGCUCGUAGGCGGCUCGGUAAGUCGAUCGUGAAAUCCCGGAGCUCAACUCCGGAACUGCGGUCGAUACUGCCGUGGCUAGAGUCAGGUAGAGGAGAGUAGAAUUCCCGGUGUAGCGGUGGAAUGCGCAGAUAUCGGGAGGAAUACCAUUUAGCGAAGGCGGCUCUCUGGGCCUGUACUGACGCUGAGGAGCGAAAGCGUGGGUAGCAAACAGGAUUAGAUACCCUGGUAGUC
rnacentral:rRNA from 1 species